rnacentral:rRNA from 1 species
UGAGCAACCUGCCCUUGACACCGGGAUAACAGUUGGAAACAGCUGCUAAUACCGGAUAUGACCUCCGACGGCAUCAUCUGGAGGUGGAAAGUUCUGGCGGUCAAGGAUGGGCUCGCGGCCUAUCAGCUUGUUGGUGAGGUAACGGCUCACCAAGGCUUCGACGGGUAGCCGGCCUGAGAGGGCGACCGGCCACACUGGGACUGAGACACGGCCCAGACCUCCGUACGGGAGCAG